GAAGGUAUAGCUCAGUGGUAGAGUGCAUGCUUAACAUGCACGAAGUCCUGGGUUCAAUCCCCAGUACCUCCA
rnacentral:tRNA from 1 species